CAGAGCAACAGAGACGAGUCGGCAUUCAGGGCAACCCGGGUGCCGGGUGAAACGGGCAAUCUCUACGCGCAGCAAUACCAAAUAGGCCAGCAUUGAAGCGGUUCGCUGAGCUGGCGGGUAGGUAGCACCGAGCCGUGGGGGCGACCCCCGGCCCAGAUUAAUGGCGGUCACACUGGAGCGUCGCAAGACGCCUCAGCGCACAAAAUCCGGCUUAUCGGCGGGCUUCACAC
rnacentral:RNase_P_RNA from 1 species